rnacentral:lncRNA from 1 species
CGAGAUUCAAAAUGAUCCAAAAAACAGAGAAUCAUAAACCCAUUUCAAACGGAGUGAAAUACAUAUGUAUAAACAAAAACAACAACAACUAAGACCUCAACACGAGAAAUAGAUUGGCAUAUAAAUUUGCAUUCUCCUUCAAUUCAUCCACAACAACUCUGUUUACAAAACACUUCCAACUGUUCGCUGCUCCAAAUCAACAUGCAUUCUAACUGUCCAACCAUUCCUUCACAAAAAGAAUGAGGCUUUACUAUGUAAAUUUUCCAUAAAAUAUGGCAUUCAAUUAGUGUUGUAUUGUGCUGUGCUGUGUUUGUUUUGGGUUCGACGUGACAUGUUUUCGUGGAACAGAACCUUCAUCGCCAUAGCUCGCCGGAGCCAGUGCAGCUUCUGCUCGUCACUCUGAAACCUUGUUUGCUGUCGAUCUUUGUCUCGAAAAUUUCCACAGGGCAUCUUUCUUCAUCUUCUUCCUGGACGGAGCAUCAGCGGCGGAGUUGUUCGAUGAUACCGAGUGUCGAGGCUCCAUCGCCACAUCGUACCGCCCGUUCACUUCUCUCACGGUGAUGGUUUGUUGUCGACGCACUCAUCCGUGUUCAGCUUCACGACCUUGCCCGCACCGUCAUCGGCACCCAGCGAGUACUCCAUGUACGUGUCUCUACAAUCCGUGUACAUCGUGUAGCUGUUGUUCGCGUGGACCGUUGCCACUUUUGUCGUGUACUGACACAUGUCCACCCUCAUAUCCAAGGGUCGUGAGGUCAGGUUGAUGAUCUGCGUGGAACCCAUGUCGCGGAAAUCUCAUCAACAACAAGCUGCAAUAUCGCGAUCACGGUUUCGGUAAUAACGCCGUCUAUCCAGGCUCGCGGAAUCAGACCAACGAGCGACUGACAGCAUCGAUAUCACCCGAUCAACGCAGAAUCUGCACACUGCACCACUCAUCUAUCGAUCUAGUGAACUCAAGAUCCUGGCUCUGGGUGUUCGCACGCAAUGUGAGUCCGAUCACAAGGUAUACGCAAUCGCUGCAUAAUCAAGGAAUACUACUAAUAUCUGAUUAGGCAACCCGAUGGCGGUUCCAGUUCAAUCGCACCUUCUAUCCCCACAACAAGGUUCAGAAUUGCAAUGUACGUCGAUGUUCUUCAACCUUCGCUUUUUGCUGGAUCAUUGAAUUGUGUCUGGACGCUGUCCCACAGAUUCAC